UCACGCGAGCGGAUCCUCUCUCUGGUACCCUCGCACGCGCUAGGGUUCCUGCGCCGCCGCGAGCUCGUCGACCAGCCCAACGUCCUGCUACUCCGCGCCUCGUUUCCCUCGUCACUCGCCUUCGGACUCCUCGCUAGCCUCAGGCGAUCCAUCGCUUGUCUGCAAGCCAAGCCGCUGCCUCUCCGCCGAGAAAGAGGGCUCCCGAUCUCCGCCGUGGUCGACCAACAGCUCAUCUCGCCUGCUCUGUCGCCUCGUCACGCGUGCUGUCUGCUCCGCUGCCUCGCCGCCUGCUCCGUCGCCUUGCCACGCGCCGGCCGCCUUCUCCCCCUCGUCUCGCUGAUUCUCUCCGUCCGCACUAGGAGAUCAAGAGGGAAGGGAUCCCCUUUUCUGCAAAGCUCGUGCCUUGCCGGCUUCGACGGCGGCGCUCGAUGACCCGCUCCUCGUCCUCGAGCACCUCCUCCAGACCUCGAGCUCCGGCGGCGGCGGCGUGGGAAAGACGACCAGGGCAUGGGGAACACAAAGACUUGCUCCACACACAUGCCACUGCCACGUGCUUGUCUUGCUCCUUGAGUUGGCGGGCUGAUGAUGGAGGAUCUACACUCUUCGCUGCACUGGCGCCGUCGCUGCCGCUUCUGCUUCUGCUCCCCGCUCGCCCACGGCGAAGGCUGUCUUCUGAAUUUACAGGUGAUGUCUGUCUGUUGAAGCAAGCAGGUGAGCUGAUUUUGUGCAGAGAUUGGUUUGUGCAGCGAUUGGAGGAGGAAUGGAGUAUUGCAUAGGAUUGGAUGUUGCUUCCAUUGGUGCAGACUGCAAAUGUAGCUGGUGCACUCCGGGAGGCGAAGAAUAAAAUUGAGAAGAAGUUGGAUGAUCUUACUUUGUAAGACUUACUCUCGAAAGGAGAAUGCGGAUUUUCAGAAUACCGACGGAAAUAUUGCGUUGGAACGAUCCCGGGUCAGCGGGGGCGGCCAAACUAGGUGGCAAAUGCGGUGCACAAGUUGAGGAGCGAAGGUAAAGAGGAAAGGCCACAACAACCUGAGCAGCGGCGAGGGGAUGGAGCAGCGGCUGCGCAGCUGCGUCGACCCGAGCAGUUGCGAGAGCGAAUGAAGCUGCGGUUGCACAGACAAGCUUGUGGAGGUGUCAGUAUGCAUGCAUGCGUCCCUGAUUUGGAGCACGCCUCUGGCCUGGUAGGAUUCUCGCUCUGCCCCGACCUCAAGGGUGUUCGUCUAUCUGUGUCGUGCUCGGGACGAUGCACUAAUGCAGGUGUGGUUCUUCAGCUUUUCUUUGUCUUUUUGUUGGUAUGUAUAUCUCCGAAUCUUGUGAGCCGUGAUUUUCAUGCUGCCAUGUAUGCCAUUGUGUCCUGUAUAAUGAUUCUUCUUAUUAUUUUUGAAUGGCAUAAUUAUUCUUAUUGAGGCACUGCCGCUGCCUAUUUUGCUUAUAGUAACAUACUAAUUAAUACAGGGAGAGAGUACGAUUUUUUAACACAAUCUGCAGUACCCGUGAGCCUGCCCAUAGGUAGAUAUGGAUACAUUUUGUAGCUUCCAUUCUUGUUUUCUCUCAUUGAAAUUAUGAAUUUGGAAACUAAUCAUGGAGUGUCUAGAUUGUCUGCUAUAUUACCAAGUGCGCUGAAGGAAAAGCUGCUGCCACCGUUGAUGACCACUCUAGGUGAUAUAAUUCAUAUUUGCUUUGUUGUUUCAGUAACUUCCUGUAGCAUAUUGGUUCCAUCUUUUUUUUGCAUCAUGGUACAUUAUUCUCAUCUUGAUAUAUAUAAUUUGGUCAACUGAAGAUUUGAGUGCAGGGUAGAAUUCUUGGUUGAUUUUAGAAUUUCGUUGUUGAUUACUUGGCCAACAGACUUCUAUGAAAUUCAAGGCGUCAUUUAGUGUACUGUAUGUCAUAUUUGUCUUAUUUCUAUACUCACAAUAUUUCGGCAUCGUCUGAACAAAUGAUGCUAAAUUGAUAUAAUCAUUUUGGAUCAGUGUCAUCUUCUCAAUGCUGAACAGCCAAAAUAUAUACAGGUGAGCAGUUCACCGCACAUGCUCAUAUGUCAUAUUUAUGUACUGUUUAACAUGGCAAAAAUUGGUCAAACGUUUAAAUAUUUCUACUGUUUAACACAGCCAAAGUAUAUACAUAAUGAUCAGUCCUCCGCUGCACAUUAGAUCCAGCCUCCCUCCCUUGACACCAUUCUUCUUACUUAUUAUUAUUUCUUUUAAAAAUAUCUUUAGUUUUAUUUUCUAGCUACUUCAAUUCAUUCGUAUAUGGUUAGUUCCAUCGCACUACGAGGAUGAUCCAUGGCUGGUCGCGGACGAUCACCUGCGAGGACGAUUCAUGGCCGGUUGGGGAUGGUCAGUUCCAUCACACUGCGAGGAGAUGAUUCAUGGCCGGUCGGGGAUGGUCACCUGCGCCCGAAGGCCAACCUUAAUACUGGACCUCGAGAGGGGCAUCUGGCCAACCAUGCCGGAGGAUGCAGAGGAGUUGUUUGGGAAUGUUAUCAUCAAAGGACCCAAGAAGUAGCCCACCAAGGAUGCAUGGAUCAACCACGCAAGUCCAUUCUUGCAAUCCAUCUGUGGCGAGGGUUUAUGACAGACAAGCCAAUAGAUUUGGGGGUCCACUUCCCGCUGAAACAAAUGUUCAUUGCGGAUAAUACGAAGACGAUGAUUGGUACAAUCAGGUGAAUAUAUUAGAAUUUUUAUUCUUCUCUCUCCAUGUCUAUGUUUGUGCUUGAUCAACUGUCCACUUAAUGAUUUUAGUUGUACAAAGUCCUAAGCUGGUCUCACUAGGUCGUACCCAG